CUGAUGAUUUGGUUACAUUAAAUUUGUGUAAAGAUUUUGGGAUAAGGUAGAAUUUAUAUUUGUGUGUUUAAGCUGUUGUUCUAUUGAUUUAGAGGCCUUAGAUCUUUGGUUGAUAAACUUCCAAAUGCAUUCUCAGAGUUGGAGAGGCCAGCUUCUUUGUGGGUUGAGCGGGCACAAUCUGUUCCAUUACCACCCUUACAAAAUUCUGAGGCUUUGUAUUUCCAGAAGAAGAUUCCAGAAGGUUAUAACUCUACAGUUUUCAUAAUCAAUGCUUCCAUCCCAUACUUUUUGACAGUAUACGGGUGUUCUUUGAUGCUGUUUUGCAACUAUGUGGUGGUAAACCAUUAGAAGGAGUGUUUGUUGGUGCAUUCCUUUCCAUGUCUUCAACCGCUGUUGUGUUGAAGUUUUUGAUGGAAAGAAACAGCAUAAAUGCCCUUCAUGGUCAAGUAACAGUUGGUACCCUUAUUCUGCAGGUACCUAGUUUAUUGGAUUCUCCUGGUGUCUAAGUUGGUGCUGCUGUUAACAUUUCUGACUUGUGUACCCUGGUUCCUCAAGCUGAUGAUAAGCCUGUCAUCACAGACCAAUGAACUAUACCAGUUGGCAUCAGUUGCAUUCUGCCUACUUGUUGCAUGGGUUAGUCUUCUUAUUGCCAUCUCCUAUAAUUAUUUCUUCCU